UACCUGGUUGAUCCUGCCAGUAGUCAUAUGCUUGUCUCAAAGAUUAAGCCAUGCAAGUCUAAGUACGAGCUCUCGUACAGUGAAACUGCGAAUGGCUCAUUAAAUCAGUUAUGGUUCAUUUGAUCGUACAGUUUACUUGGAUAACUGUGGUAAUUCUAGAGCUAAUACAUGCGAGAAGCGCCGACCUCGCGGGAGGCGUGCAUUUAUCAGACCAAAAACCGGCCGCGUCUUCGGGCGCGUUCGCCUUGGUGACUCUGGAUAACUUUGCGGAUCGCACGGUCUAGCACCGGCGACGGAUCAUUCAAGUGUCUGCCCUAUCAACUUUCGUCGGUACGGUAUUUGCCUACCGAGGUUCUUACGGGUGACGGGGAAUCAGGGUUCGAUUCCGGAGAGGGAGCCCUGAGAAACGCUAG
rnacentral:ncRNA from 1 species